CCUACGGGUGGCAGCAGUGAGGAAUAUUGGUCAAUGGGCGCGAGCCUGAACCAGCCAAGCCGCGUGAAGGAUGACGGCUCUACGGGUUGUAAACUUCUUUUGUACAGGGGUAAAGCUGGGCACGUGUACCCUUUUGAAUGUACUUUACGAAUAAGGAUCGGCUAACUCCGUGCCAGCAGCCGCGGUAAUACGGAGGAUCCAAGCGUUAUCCGGAUUUAUUGGGUUUAAAGGGUGCGUAGGGGGGUUGAUAAGUCAGGGGUGAAAUGUUCGGGCUUAACCCUAGAACUGCCUUUGAUACUGGCAGUCUUGAGUGCAGGUGAGGUAGGCGGAAUGCGUGGUGUAGCGGUGAAAUGCUUAGAGAUCACGCAGAACUCCGAUUGCGAAGGCAGCUUACCAACC
rnacentral:rRNA from 1 species